rnacentral:rRNA from 1 species
UACGAAGGGGGCUAGCGUUGCUCGGAAUCACUGGGCGUUAAAGGGGUGCGUAGGCGGGUCUUUAAGUCAGGGGUGAAAUCCUGGAGCUCAACUCCCAGAACUGCCUUUGAUACUGAGGAUCUUGAGUUCGGGGAGAGGUGAGUGGAACUGCGAAGUGUAGAGGUGAAAUUCGUAGAUAUUCGCAAGAACACCAGUGGCGAAGGCGGCUCACUGGCCCGAUACUGACGCUGAGGCACGAAAGCGUGGGGAGCAAACAGG